rnacentral:other from 1 species
UUACCCCUGCCUGAUUCGUGAUGACCAAAGACAUGGUGAACCAACGCACCGUUUCAGGGAGUCGAAAACCUGGGUGGUGAGCAUGCCCUAUUGUACAGGGAGCCUAAAACCUGGGGGGAGACACCCACCUACAGAGGUAGGUUCAACGGUAUUUCGUCACACGGUCAAGGCGGGGUUUCU